AGCCCGCGAGGCACAAAGCCGGGGGCCCAAAGGCCAGGUCGGGGGCGUGAUGGGCAGGCAGCUGGGGCCAGAUGGGCAGGGCAGGGGGCUGGUGGGCAGGACAAAGGCCAGGCAGGCAGACAGCAGGGGCCAGGCGGGCAGGGCAGGGGCCAGGCGGGCAGACAGCAGGGGCCUGGCGGGCAGGGCAGGGGCCAGGCGGGCAGGGCAGGGGCCAGGCGGGCACAUCUGCAGAAGCUCAGAGGUGAGGUGGCAGCUGGGGGCUCCUGGGAGUCGUGCAGGAAGCCCGCAGGUGUGUGUCUGGCCUAGGCUCAUCCGGAUUUCUCCUUGAUGGCUUCUGGCCUGACGCCUUUCCGCCACCCUGUCUAUUCACAUGCCGCAGCAGUGACGGAUGGAACCUCCUGGGGCCUCCCAGAGCUACUUGAAUGUUGUGUGUUGAGGGGUUACUGUCACAAACGUGUGGCCCAUACAGGGACCCAGGAACCCCCAUGCUCCAUCCUGAAAGUGGCCCUGCGGUGGAAGGGUGCUGUCUGGGCUGCCCAGCCUUCCUGUUGAGCCCCUGGGCGGCGGGCGCUCCAUGUCCAAAGCCCCGCAGAGCCUGUGCGUGUCUGCGCUGAGGACACGGGGCCAACCUGCCGGAGCACCCACCAGUCCCCUGCGCCCCGAGGCAGUAGAGCCGCUCUUAGAGCCGAUCCAGGCCCCUCGGUCUCCCACUCCAGCAAGUCUGUCCCUCUUGCCACCCCCAGGGAACAGUCCUCCGAAGCCCGGGUCACACGGAGGCCCAUGGUCGCAGUGUCAGGCUCGGGCAGAUGUGUGAGCUGGCAUGUGCCC
rnacentral:lncRNA from 1 species